rnacentral:rRNA from 1 species
UACGGAGGAUCCAAGCGUUAUCCGGAUUUAUUGGGUUUAAAGGGUGCGUAGGUGGCCUAUUAAGUCAGGGGUGAAAGACGGUAGCUUAACUAUCGCAGUGCCUUUGAUACUGAUGGGCUUGAAUACACUCGAGGUAGGCGGAAUGUGACAAGUAGCGGUGAAAUGCAUAGAUAUGUCACAGAACACCAAUUGCGAAGGCAGCUUACUAAAGUGUUAUUGACACUGAGGCACGAAAGCCAGGGGAGCAAACGGG